GAGGAUAUAGUUCAAGUGGUAGAGUGAAUGCCUAACAUGCACAAGGUCCUGGGUUCAACCUCCAGUAUCUUCU
rfam:Camelus ferus unplaced genomic scaffold scaffold1176, whole genome shotgun sequence.